UAAAAUUUCUAAAAUAUUACAAAAAAAAUAAAAAAUUCUAAAAUCAGAGAAGCACGCAUUCGUUUUCUCUCUCCUCGAUUCUUCGACCUCUUCCUCUUCAGCGUCGUUCUGUCGUCGCCGUCGCUUCUUCACUGCCGAAGAUCGAUCUCCCCCACCGCAGUUGAUCUCUACCCUCUUCCAGAUCAGACUAAUUCAGGUAGUUUGGAUCACUGGAGCCAGCCGUGGAAUCG